UACAGAGGUCCCAAGCGUUGUUCGGAUUCACUGGGCGUAAGGGUGCGCAGGUGGUUUGGCAAGUUUGACGUGAAAGCCCCGGGCUUAACCCGGGAAUGGCGUUGAAAACUGCUUGAACUGGAGGGUUGGAGGGGGGACUGGAAUUCUUGGUGUAACAGUGAAAUGCGUAGAUAUCAAGAGGAACACCAGUGGCGAAGGCGAGUCCCUGGACAAACCCUGACACUGAGGCACGAAAGCCAAGGGAGCAAACAGG
rnacentral:rRNA from 1 species